rnacentral:rRNA from 1 species
UACGUAGGUGGCAAGCGUUGUCCGGAAUUACUGGGCGUAAAGGGCUCGUAGGCGGCCAACUAAGUCGGAUGUGAAAUCCCCAGGCUUAACCUGGGAACUGCAUCCGAUACUGGAUGGCUUGAAUUCGGGAGAGGGAUGCAGAAUUCCAGGUGUAGCGGUGAAAUGCGUAGAUAUCUGGAGGAAUACCGGUGGCGAAGGCGGCAUCCUGGACCGACAUUGACGCUGAACGGCGAAAGCUAGGGGAGCAAACGGG